AUAUGCUUGUUUCAAAGCUUAAGCCAUGCAAGUCUCAGUACGAACNNUGAAUUAAAGNNUGAAACCGCAAAAGGCUCAGUAAACCAGUCUNNUGAUUCACUUGAAUAUACAAGACUGUCUUUGGAUAACUGUGGUAAUUCUAGAGCUAAUACAUGCAACCAAGUCCCAACCAGUCUCACUGGGAAGGACGCUUUUAUUAGAUCAAGACCAAUCGCUCGGNCUCGUUCGAGCGUUUCCUUGGUGACUCUAGGUAACACAUCAGAUCGCAUGGUCNNAUCGUACCGGCGACUUAUCUUUCAAAUGCCUGACUUAUCAACUUUCGAUGGUAGACUCUAUGUCUACCAUGGUUGUAACGGGNUAACGGGGAAUCAGGGUUCGAUUCCGGAGAGGGAGCCUGAGAAACGGCUACCACAUCCAAGGAAGGCAGCAGGCACGCAAAUUACCCACUCCCGGCACGGGGAGGUAGUGACAAAAAAUAACGAUACGGGACUCUUUNUGAGGCCCCGUAAUCGGAAUGAGUACACUUUAAAUCCUUUAACAAGGACCCAUUGGAGGGAAAGUCUGGUGCCAGCAGCCGCGGUAACUCCAGCUCCAAUAGCGUAUAUUAAAGUUGUUGCGGUUAAAAAGCUCGUAGUUGGUUCUGCGUGCCACGCUGUUGGUUCGCCGCCUGCCGGUGUAACUGGCAUGCCGUGGCAUGUCCUGUCGGUGGCGUGCNNGGGCGCCUUGUCAGGUAACGAUNNNNNNNNNCAGGGCUCUGCUCUUNNNNNNUUCGCGGCCGGAGGUUCAACCCGUUCGCCUACUUCUAUCCUACCUAGGUGCUCUUCACCGAGUGUCGAGGUAGGCCGACACGUUUACUUUGAACAAAUUAGAGUGCUCAAAGCAGGCNUGAAAUUUCUGCCUGAANUAGUGGUGCAUGGAAUAAUGAAACAGGACCUUGGUUCUAUUUUGUUGGUUCUUAGGAACACAAGGNUAAUGAUCAAUACGGACAGGCGGGGGCAUUCGUAUUGCGACGUUAGAGGUGAAAUUCUUGGAUCGUCGCAAGACGCACAAGAGCGAAAGCAUUUGCCAAGUAUGUCUNUGAUUGAUCAAGAACGAAAGUUANGA
rnacentral:rRNA from 1 species